rnacentral:lncRNA from 1 species
CUAAGCUUAAUCACAUCUCAAAGAAUAGAGGCAAUAUGUAAAUAGGCUGUUUUUACAUUUGAAAUUGUAUAAGCCCAUACAUAACUUUUAAUCAGGGAGUGUCGGGGGAGGGAGCCUGGUGGGAGGUGACUGAAUCAUGGGGGUGGACUUCCCCUCUGGCUGUUCUCAUGAUAGUGAGUGAGUUCUCAGGAGAUCUGGUUGUUUGAAAGUUGUGUGGAACAUCCCCUUUCGCUCUCUCUCCUGUUCGGUCAUGGUGAGAUGUGCUUGCUUCCCCUUCUUCCCCUUCGCCUUCUGCCAUGACUGUAAGUUUCUUGGGGCCUCCCAGUCAUGCUUCUUGUUAAGCCGGCAAAACUGUGAGUCAACUAAACCUCUUUUCUUCAUAAAUUACCCAGUCUCAGGUCGUUCUUUAUAGCAGUGUGAAAAUGGACUAAUACAGUGCAUGUAUAGCAUACAUCAUACAGUCUUUUGAAAACUGUAGUUUUAGGAUGAAUUUUCUGACCAGAAUUAGUAUCCAUUACAGUGUUAAUAUAUAACAUAAGAAUUAUCUAUACAAAAUUAAAGGUCAAACUAAACUGUACAGAAAAAUUCACAUUAUUUUUGGAAGACUGCAACUCCCCAAAAAAAUCAUUGCAGAGGUUACAACAACAACAUUCACUGCAGCAACAAAUUUGUUGAUUUAAUCUUGGCUGAGUGCACAUUCUUGUGUUUAGCAAUAAAAAAAAUGCCUGUUAAAAAUAUUUUAUGUAUCUGGGUCAGAAGAAAGCCUGCUCUGAAGAUUUCUGACAUUAGGAAAUGGAGGGCUGCACUUCAGGAUAAAGCUGUAUGAAACUGUUUAACUUCUUAUAACCUAAAAUGAUUACAUUAUACCCUAUAACCUGGAAUGAUAUUUAUACUGCUUAUUAAAACAGGUACAUUUUUAGUUUCAUCUGUUAUCCCUUAAAAAAUAUUAACAAGGAGAAAACCUGAAAAAGGAUUGCCAAGCAGUAAGAAUAGUGCCUGGUACAUAUUAAGCUCUCUAUAAAUAAUUGUUAAAAUAAAUAAAACCAGAGAGAAGAUGUAAGGGAAUUAAGGAAAAACUGCACAGAAUAACAGAGCAUAAAAGUAGGGGAUGGGAUACUCAUGCAAAAAGCCAAGGAAAUAAGUAAGCAUGCUCACGUAUAAAAUAAUAAUGAGGGUCUACGUCUCAUUUCCUUCCUUACUGUUUGAACACAGCAGUCAUUUCUGAUAGCAAGAUGCUAUUUGGACUACUGACAGACAUACACAAACAUUUCAUGACAACUGCAUUGUUUUCAAAACAGUGUACUUUUACCCCGGAACACUCCAAAACAAAGAAUAGCAAAGAAUAAAACUAUGUUAUUAAAUUCCAGAAGUAUUAAGAAUUCAAUUCCUAACUCCAAAGCAGGUAUCUGAUUUGCAACUACAGUUCAACUUUAAUUAAUCCAAUUUAUAAAAGAACUAAGAUUUAAGGAACAUGCCAAAACCUUUCAAAUUUAAGCCAUAUUUAUUUGCAUUUUUAAGACUACAGAGAUAUACUUUAAAUCAAAUACAAUGUUAGUGCUGGUAGCAGGUUUGUUUUAUACCAAAGAAUGAAAAGAUAUUUUAAGCAAUUGGGUUUAUAUCAAAUCUGUUAUUUGCCUUUUGAUCUCUAAAACAGAAAUAAUUUAUAUCACAGUUUUCAAAGACAGAUGCCGCCUAAGCAAACAUGAAUUUAUAUAUGGCCUAAAACAGACCUUUGACUUUUAACAGAAAAAGAUAUUGAGUAAUUUUAUAAAUUACUAAAAAGAUACUGAGUAAUUUCAUAAAUACAUAAAGCAUUUUAAACUCUAGUUAAAAGUCUAGUAAAGUUUUGGGAGCAAUGCAAUGAAGAUGAAAAGAUACCCAUUUUCACCUAGUUUCCUAAAACUGCACAAUCCUCAACCCUGUGGUAAGUCUUUCCUUUGGUGUACUUUUCCCCUUCUUUUUAGUUUUCAUUUUUGAAUUAUUUCCUUAAAUAGGCAAAAAAUGAAGCUUUAGUGAAGGGGGCAUUGCAAUAAAAUACAUUUUAGUUAUCUUUAGUAUUUGUUUGUGAAUCCCCUCAACCUGCCUGCCAGUCUCCCUUCAUAGAGAUUGGGUAACUUUCCUUCAAAACAAAGUAAAAAAAACCCAAUUCAUAUGAAAAAUAAUAAUUAAGACAUUAAACUCUACAUAAUAAUAAUAAAACUACACAUGAUAAUCAUUUAUCUCUUAGCUAUACUAGUGGUACCUAGUCUUAUUAGGGAAAAGAAAAACUACUUCAGAAAAUAUCAAAAAUGAAGAUGACUGAUACAACAAGGUGACUGUUCAAAAUGUAUGUGGUUGAUGAACAUAUACGCAGAUUAAAAAUUUUCUUAACUUACAUUUCAGUCAUCUGAUUUAGACAGCUUCCGUUUCACAUGUCGUGGAGGUUCC